GGCGGCAGCGACAGAAAGCGCCGCUGCUCAGCGGUAGUCCACGCCCCCUUCCCGCCCCGGUGACAGUCUCUGCGGAAAGUCGCGUUCGUGAUUUCUGGAGAGCACCCAACGGGACGACGGCGGUCCUGCCUGGUCGUUCGGGCCAAGCGACGAGGCAACGGUUUCCUGGCGAAGUGCCCACCCCGCCCCGCGCCCCUAGGCAGCCCGUACCUUUAGGGCCUGAGGAUGCUGAGAUCUAUGUGGAAUUUUCUAAAACGUCACAAAAAGAAAUGCAUCUUCCUGGGCACAGUCCUCGGAGGAGUAUAUAUCCUGGGAAAAUAUGGACAGAAGAAAAUCAGAGAAAUACAAGAAAGAGAAGCUGCAGAGUACAUUGCUCAAGCACGACGACAGUAUCAUUUUGAAAGUAACCAGAGGACUUGCAAUAUGACAGUGCUGUCCAUGCUUCCGACCCUGAGAGAGGCCUUAAUGCAACAACUCAAUUCUGAGAGCCUAACCGCUCUGCUAAAAAACAGGCCUUCAAACAAGUUGGAAAUAUGGGAGGAUCUGAAGAUAAUAAGUUUCACAAGAAGUAUCGUAGCAGUAUACAGUACUUGUAUGCUGGUGGUUCUUUUGCGAGUCCAGUUAAACAUAAUUGGUGGAUAUAUUUACCUGGAUAAUGCAGCAGUUGGCAAAAAUGGCACUACAGUUCUUGCUCCCCCAGAUGUCCAACAGCAAUAUUUAUCAAGUAUUCAGCACCUCCUUGGAGAUGGCCUGACAGAAUUGAUCACGGUCAUUAAACAAGCUGUACAGAAGAUUUUAGGAAGCAUUUCUCUUAAACAUUCUUUGUCCCUUUUGGACUUGGAGCAAAAACUAAAAGAAAUCAGAAAUCUAGUUGAGCAGCAUAAAUCUUCUUCUUGGAUUAAUAAAGAUGGAUCCAAAUCUUUAUUAUGCCAUUAUAUGAUGCCAGAUGAAGAAACUCCAUUAGCAGUCCAGGCCUGCGGGCUUUCUCCUAGAGAUGUUACAACUAUUAAACUACUCAAUGAAACUAGAGACAUGUUGGAAAGUCCAGAUUUUAGUACAGUUUUGAAUACAUGUUUAAACCGAGGGUUUAGCAGACUGCUAGACAAUAUGGCUGAGUUCUUUCGACCUACUGAACAGGACCAACAUAGCAACUCCAUGAGUAGUCUUUCCAGUGUCAGCCUGCCAUUAGCUAAGAUAAUUCCAAUAGUAAAUGGACAGAUCCAUUCAGUUUGCAGUGAAACACCUAGUCAUUUUGUUCAGGAUCUGUUGAUGAUGGAGCAAGUGAAAGACUUUGCUGCUAAUGUGUAUGAAGCUUUUAGUACUCCUCAACAACUGGAGAAGUGAUAUCUUUUCCUUCAAGAAAAACUACAAUGGAAUUCAUUUACUUUUAAAAAUAUGCUGAAUAAACCAACUAUAUAUAGGUAUUAACCCAGGAUUUCAUCCAAGGAAUAUUUGAGACUGAACAGGUGUGGCCUUAUAAAUGGAUCAAAAUCUGGUCAGCUGAAAAUUUUCACCUGGAGUCCUCUACAUCUGUGGAGUUGUGGCAGUUGAAGAGAUGACAAGGAAUACAUUAUAUAUGUGUGCACAUUAUAUAUAUACAUUUGGUAACAUUUCUAUCUUGAAGAACUUAAUACCUGAAGUAUUUAAUCCGGAAAGUAGGCUCCCGGCCCAGCGCAGAGCCCAACAGGCGCUUGAACUCAGCACCUGAGAUCAAGACCCCCGCUGAGAUCAAGCGUCAGAGGCUUAAUCGACUGGGCCACCCGGGCUCCCCUCUAGAACCUUUUUUUAGUUCCUAGAGCCACACGUGGUUAACAUUUUAACAUUAAAGAGCCAACGCAUGUCCAAAUGAACAGAAGUUUCACAUACUCGUAACCAUACUCGAUGGCAGAACAGCGAUGGCCAACCGUUUAGGCCGAAGCCUCGCGGUUCCUCGCACGACCCCCCACACAACUGGAAUCAUUUCUGCCGCCUUAGUGCCUCGGUGGUCACAGUGUGGCAACCCCAGCUUGACACGUGCAACCAGCAGGAGGCUGAGAAGCCAGGGCUGCACGAAGGCCCGCCGACGCCGGCAGUCCCGCGAAGAGCA